CCUACGGGCGGCAGCAGUGAGGAAUAUUGGUCAAUGGGCGCGAGCCUGAACCAGCCAAGUAGCGUGAAGGAUGACUGCCCUACGGGUUGUAAACUUCUUUUAUAAAGGAAUCAAGUGAGGCACGUGUGCCUUUUUGUAUGUACUUUAUGAAUAAGGAUCGGCUAACUCCGUGCCAGCAGCCGCGGUAAUACGGAGGAUCCGAGCGUUAUCCGGAUUUAUUGGGUUUAAAGGGUGCGUAGGCGGGCUUUUAAGUCAGCGGUAAAAAUUCGGGGCUCAACCCCGUCCGGCCGUUGAAACUGGCAGUCUUGAGUACAGUUGAGGUAGGCGGAAUUCGUGGUGUAGCGGUGAAAUGCUUAGAUAUCACGAAGAACCCCGAUUGCGAAGGCAGCUUACUAAACUGUGACUGACAUUGAUGCUCGAAAGUGUGGGUAUCAAACAGGAUUAGAUACCCCAGUAGUC
rnacentral:rRNA from 1 species